rnacentral:rRNA from 1 species
UACGGGGGGGGUAAGCGUUGUUCGGAAUUACUGGGCGUAAAGGGCUCGUAGGCGGCCAACUAAGUCAGACGUGAAAUCCCUCAGCUUAACUGGGGAACUGCGUCUGAUACUGGAUGGCUUGGAUUCGGGAGAGGAAUGCGGAAUUCCAGGUGUAGCGGUGAAAUUCGUAGAUAUUCGGAAGAACACCAGUGGCGAAGGCGACUUACUGGACGAUUGUUGACGCUGAGGUGCGAAAGCGUGGGGAGCAAACAGG